AGUGAACGCUGGCGGUAGGCCUAACACAUGCAAGUCGAACGGCAGCACAGUAAGAGCUUGCUCUUACGGGUGGCGAGUGGCGGACGGGUGAGGAAUACAUCGGAAUCUACUUUUUCGUGGGGGAUAACGUAGGGAAACUUACGCUAAUACCGCAUACGACCUACGGGUGAAAGCAGGGGAUCUUCGGACCUUGCGCGAUUGAAUGAGCCGAUGUCGGAUUAGCUAGUUGGCGGGGUAAAGGCCCACCAAGGCGACGAUCCGUAGCUGGUCUGAGAGGAUGAUCAGCCACACUGGAACUGAGACACGGUCCAGACUCCUACGGGAGGCAACAGUGGGGAAUAUUGGACAAUGGGCGCAGGCCUGAUCCAGCCAUACCGCGUGGGUGAAGAAGGCCUUCGGGUUGUAAAGCCCUUUUGUUGGGAAAGAAAAGCAGCAGGUUAAUACCCCGCUGUUCUGACGGUACCCAAAGAAUAAGCACCGGCUAACUUCGUG
rnacentral:rRNA from 1 species